rnacentral:rRNA from 1 species
AGAGUUUGAUCCUGGCUCAGGAUGAACGCUGGCGGCGUGCCUAAUACAUGCAAGUCGAGCGAACGGACGAGAAGCUUGCUUCUCUGAUGUUAGCGGCGGACGGGUGAGUAACACGUGGAUAACCUACCUAUAAGACUGGGAUAACUUCGGGAAACCGGAGCUAAUACCGGAUAAUAUUUUGAACCGCAUGGUUCAAAAGUAAAAGACGGUCUUGCUGUCACUUAUAGAUGGAUCCGCGCUGCAUUAGCUAGUUGGUAAGGUAACGGCUUACCAAGGCAACGAUGCAUAGCCGACCUGAGAGGGUGAUCGGCCACACUGGAACUGAGACACGGUCCAGACUCCUACGGGAGGCAGCAGUAGGGAAUCUUCCGCAAUGGGCGAAAGCCUGACGGAGCAACGCCGCGUGAGUGAUGAAGGUCUUCGGAUCGUAAAACUCUGUUAUUAGGGAAGAACAUAUGUGUAAGUAACUGUGCACAUCUUGACGGUACCUAAUCAGAAAGCCACGGCUAACUACGUGCCAGCAGCCGCGGUAAUACGUAGGUGGCAAGCGUUAUCCGGAAUUAUUGGGCGUAAAGCGCGCGUAGGCGGUUUUUUAAGUCUGAUGUGAAAGCCCACGGCUCAACCGUGGAGGGUCAUUGGAAACUGGAAAACUUGAGUGCAGAAGAGGAAAGUGGAAUUCCAUGUGUAGCGGUGAAAUGCGCAGAGAUAUGGAGGAACACCAGUGGCGAAGGCGACUUUCUGGUCUGUAACUGACGCUGAUGUGCGAAAGCGUGGGGAUCAAACAGGAUUAGAUACCCUGGUAGUCCACGCCGUAAACGAUGAGUGCUAAGUGUUAGGGGGUUUCCGCCCCUUAGUGCUGCAGCUAACGCAUUAAGCACUCCGCCUGGGGAGUACGACC